UACAGAGGUCCCAAGCGUUGUUCGGAUUCACUGGGCGUAAAGGGUGCGUAGGUGGUGAGGUAAGUCGGAUGUGAAAUCUCCACGCUUAACGUGGAGGGGCCAUUCGAAACUGCCGUGACUCGAGUCCGGUAGGGGAGUGUGGAAUUCCCGGUGUAGCGGUGAAAUGCGCAGAUAUCGGGAGGAACACCUGAGGUGAAGACGGGUUGCUGGGCCGACACUGACGCUGAGUGCGCGAAAGCCAGGGGAGCAAACGGG
rnacentral:rRNA from 1 species